rnacentral:rRNA from 1 species
AGAGUUUGAUCCUGGCUCAGGAUGAACGCUAGCGGCAGGCUUAAUACAUGCAAGUCGAAUGGGUAGUAAUAUCCAUGGCGCACGGGUGCGUAACGCGUAUGCAACCUACCUACUACAGGGGGAUAACCCGGAGAAAUUCGGGAUAAUACCCCAUAAUAUCACAUGAGAGCAUUCGAGAGUGAUUAAAGAUUUAUCGGUAG